rnacentral:rRNA from 1 species
GAUGAACGCUGGCGGCGUGCCUAAUACAUGCAAGUCGAGCGAACAGACGAGGAGCUUGCUCCUCUGACGUUAGCGGCGGACGGGUGAGUAACACGUGGAUAACCUACCUAUAAGACUGGGAUAACUUCGGGAAACCGGAGCUAAUACCGGAUAAUAUAUUGAACCGCAUGGUUCAAUAGUGAAAGACGGUUUUGCUGUCACUUAUAGAUGGAUCCGCGCCGCAUUAGCUAGUUGGUAAGGUAACGGCUUACCAAGGCAACGAUGCGUAGCCGACCUGAGAGGGUGUACGGCCACACUGGAACUGAGACACGGUCCAGACUCCGACGGGAGGCAGCAGUAGGGAAUCGUCCGCAAUGGGCGAAAGCUUGACGGAGCAACGCCGCGUGAGUGAUGAAGGUCUUCGGAUCGUAAAACUCUGUUAUUAGGGAAGAACAAAUGUGUAAGUAACUAUGCACGUCUUGACGGUACCUAAUCAGAAAGCCACGGCUAACUACGUG